rnacentral:rRNA from 1 species
GAUGAACGCUGGCGGCGUGCCUAAUACAUGCAAGUCGAGCGAACAGACGAGGAGCUUGCUCCUCUGACGUUAGCGGCGGACGGGUGAGUAACACGUGGAUAACCUACCUAUAAGACUGGGAUAACUUCGGGAAACCGGAGCUAAUACCGGAUAAUAUAUUGAACCGCAUGGUUCAAUAGUGAAAGACGGUUUUGCUUUCACUUAUAGAUGGUUCCGCGCCGCAUUAGCUAGUUGGUAAGGUAACGGCUUACCAAGGCGACGAUGCGUAGCCGACCUGAGAGGGUGAUCGGCCACACUGGAACUGAGACACGGUCCAGACUCCUACGGGAGGCAGCAGUAGGGAAUCUUCCGCAAUGGGCGAAAGCCUGACGGAGCAACGCCGCGUGAGUGAUGAAGGUCUUCGGAUCGUAAAACUCUGUUAUUAGGGAAGAACAAAUGUGUAAGUAACUAUGCACGUCUUGACGGUACCUAAUCAGAAAGCCACGGCUAACUACGUG